CAAAUCAUCCCUCUCCAAACCUUCCCUUCCCAAAUCUCCCCACCCAAAUCAUCCCUCUCCAAACAUUCCAUUCCUGUCUCAAGGAGAGAUGUUCUUUGUCAGGGUUCUCAAUCCCUGAGGCUGUGCAGAUAAAUCUAAGAUCUGGAAAGAAGGAAGGAAGGAGGGUGUGGAUAGUCAUGGAGAUACUGAAGAAGGAGCAUUGGGAGGGCAGUGGGGAGAGAGAGGUUAGGAGAGGAUUCAUUAAUUGCUGUGUGCCAGAAGACAGCAGCUGGUCCUUGUCAUACUUGUAGAGGGAAUAUUGUACCCUCAGCUCUGAUAUUUGCAGCCAAACACCUGUGUUCCACACCACAGACUUUUCUGUCCAAUCCCCCCAAUCCCACCCAAAACCAUGGAGAAGGAAGAAAGGCAAAGUGCUUCGUGUGUCAAUAUUAACGAGAGGAGCUGCACUGUGUGUGGUGAGGUGGAAAUAGCACUGCUUGACUUCAGGACCUUCAGCAAGGAUUGCAAGUAGCACAGCUCUGUGUCAGGCUUGCCCACGAGUGUGUUCUGUGAACAGCACAGGCUUUACCCACAGGCUGCUGUGCAGGGAGCCCAGCAAUCCUUGUGCUUGCCAGGUUCUGUGAGAAUUUCCAGCUGAACCCACUGGAGCUGCUCUCUCUGGAAUUCCAAAGUGUCUCCCUGCACACAUCUGCAUUGGUCACUAGUGUUCCCAGAAGAUACUGUGUAGUGCCACACAGCUGCUCACUGGUGCUGGCCAGCAGAAAGCAGAAAAAAGUCACAUUGAGGUGGUGGGUGACAGCAACCUGCAGCAGCUGGGAGAUUUAAUACAUGUAAGGCCUUUUGUCACAGUUACACUUAGUUUCUGUAAUCCUAUGAAAUUGCAUCAUCUCAAUUUCCAUGAGGUCUGUAAGGUGUGAGAAGCCAUUAUGUCUCUGAAUUGAUGUCACCUUGGAACUGGCUGUACGUGUAUGGUGCAGCCUAUUCGGAUUUACAGUGUUUGAUCAAAAUUCAAAAGGCAUUUGGAACAAAAUAUUUAUGUGAGCAAGACUUUUUUUUUUCCCCAUGUACCCAGACACUGACUUGCUUUGGGAAUCUAGUACUGACAUGGCUGAAUGUGAGGAGUAAUUGCUCCCCUGAGGUCAGCAGUGGCUUUUGUGAGCAGCUCUGUGAGCAACGAGGCUGCAGGCACUGAGUGUCUGGGAAAACACCUCUUGGAGGGGAGUGGGAAGGUCAGGACAAGCUUUGCAGGUUGCCUGACAGCCCUGUGAACUUGUGGGGUGCAGGCAUAAAGAGAGGGGAGAAAAGGCCUUGGGCAGCUGCAUUCACUGUACCAGAGCUGCUGGGGAGGCUGUGUGUGUUCAGUGCUUCAGCCCACAUAAACCCCAAGUGGGGACCAUGGUCCCACCUCCUAUGGACAAGGGCCACAAUAUCAUUAAUCCUGAGGUUUAUCCUGACUGUAAGAUGGAGACUUAGGAGAGGUUCAGUUUAACAGUUGCACUGAGGUGUGAAAUAUUGAUCCUCUCACUUUACUGAUUCCUUAGGAACAAAUGGAGGGAUUGUUUCUUCUGUGGGGCAGGGAGCUGGCAGUGAGCUGAAUAUUAACUAACAGCUGCAUUAAAGACUAAGGGUGGGUAAAACAGCCCUGCAUGACAGCGUGUGCAGGGGUAAGGCAAGGAAAAUAAUUAAAUUCUGAACUGAUUCUCGUGCCUCCUGGGUCACAACUAAGCUUGAACUCACAGCAGAGCUAGUGACAAGUGAGCUGGAGGGUGUGCAGCAGGGCUGGACUCUGUAGAAUCCCUCCUCUACCUUCUCUGUGCCUUGAAAGAAUUCCCACUAUGUUUGAAAUGCACUUCUGCUUGCUGGUACACUGCAGACCCAUUGCACAUCAAGUGCUUCCCCCAGGCCCAGGGUGCUGGGGAGCAGAGCAUGAACCUCUUCCAGGGACACCCACGGCAUUACACACGAUAAACAACCCCUGCUUUCAGAGAGAACUGC